AGGUCUAGACAAUAAUAUCUCUCCAUCCAACAAGGCUAUUUUGUAACAGUAAGGCUUCCUUUGGGAUUACAGGAAGAUUGCGUUAUGUGCGGUGAUCAAGAAAAUACGUUGGAAAAAUACUCUGUUUAUUUCUGUACGUAAUAUUGUGUUUUGCAUAUGGCGAUGAGUCAGUUACGAUAUAUUUUCUGCGGUCUCACCAGAGAACGCAGAAGCAUAUCUCUAUAUGCUUUUUCCUCAACUCCAUUUUAUCUAAUAGCGUUAGAUUGAGCUCAAAGACACUUUUCGGCCACCAUAU
rnacentral:lncRNA from 1 species